rnacentral:rRNA from 1 species
UACGUAGGGGGCAAGCGUUGUCCGGAAUCAUUGGGCGUAAAGAGCGUGUAGGCGGCUCGAUAAGUCCGCUCUGAAAGCCCGGGGCUCAACCCCGGGAGGCGGGCGGAUACUGUCGAGCUAGAGUCCGGAAGAGGCGAGUGGAAUUCCUGGUGUAGCGGUGAAAUGCGCAGAUAUCAGGAGGAACACCAAUGGCGAAGGCAGCUCGCUGGGACGGUACUGACGCUGAGACGCGAAAGCGUGGGGAGCAAACAGG